rnacentral:lncRNA from 1 species
CACUCACCACAAGGGUCCACAGCUUCAUUCUUGAAGUCAAUGAGACCAAGAACCCACCAAUUCCAGAUACAAGGGGAAGGGAAUCCAGAAACCUGACGUGCCAGCAAAAGGGUAAAAGUUUCUUUUACCAGUUGGACUUUUGGCCUCUCCCUCCGUGUGCAAACCGGUAAAAGGAAUGUGCUCCAGUCAUAUAACCAAGUUAGUAGUGUUCUACCUUACCAGAGGAGAACUGAAGAACUUUGAACUGUGAACUUUCCCAAGGAAAGUGCGACAACUGAAACUUAGGAUUGCAACCAGAGGGGCUCCUCUUACCUCUGCAUCAAAGCGCGGAUCCUGGUAGGCAUCAC